CACCCCACGCCGCAAAAAAUCAGCCUGUCGAUCCUAUCCCCGAUCUCCAUCAUCUCGAUAGUUCUUUCGUUGCCGCCGCCGCCGUACGAGGGGAGACCCCGCCGCCGCCGAGGGGAGGGGACGAAACCGCCGAGGGGAGAUGCCGCCGCCUCCGUCCGAGGGGAGAAGCAGGGGAGAAGCUGUCGUCCGAGGGGAGACCCUGCCGCCGCGGAUCCAGGGCAGGGCGGCUUGAAUCCCUGUCCCCGAGGUCGCCCCCGCCGAUCUCCUGGAGACGGCGUCACCGUCGCCGCGUCUCCAGGCCAGGGCAGUUUCAAUUCACCUCACCCUCCAGAGGGGCUCCGAGACCAGGCCGAGAUCCCCUGUAGCCUGGGAGGAGUUCAGUGACCCGUCCGAAGCGGAGCUCGUCUGCGACCACACGCUCUGGGCGGUCCUGCAGGAGGCCUUCGACUGUAGCAACGUGGACAUCUACGGGAGGCUGGCGAUUGGGAAAUCUACCGCAUUAUUCUUGUGUGAAGAGUGGACUGCCACACCUGUUUGCGAAGCCCUUGGUGACAUUGCUGAUGUAUCUGUGGCAGGUAUGAUUAUCUCGAAGAUUAUCUUUUGCCUGACACUCUUCUUAGUCUUUACUGCUGGUCUCAACUGACCUCAUAUAUUUUCAUCUCUCCCCACCAUUGAAGUACUAGCUAUUUGUUCUGGGGUCAAAGGAUUAUGUAAUGGUGCAAGGUGAGAUACUUGAAGGUCUGGUUGCCUGUAUUGUCAGUCGUGAAAGUUUUGAGAAACCUCCCACAACCUUCAUUAGAUAUCCUAACAGAUUUUCUGAUGCAUUUGAACAUUUUCUGAGAUUGUUUGAUGCUUCUGAUCUGUGAAGUUGAAAACACUUUAUAUGCCUACUGAUUCAGAAAGCUACCAUUAUAUGCAGGCGACUCUGAUUUAGGACCAAGUUUAUGACAAAUAUAUGCUGCUAAUAGGUCAGAUGAGAAGCAGCAAAUGAAAGCACUUCUUGAAAAUGUUGGAUCUUCAAUGUGUUCGGACCACUGUGAUUGGUUUGGAAACAGUGGUCUUGAGGCUCUGUCUCGAAAUGUUGAUACAUUACCCGUCAUCCAUUUUCUGCAAGUGCGUCCAACGAACUAUGAAAUUAAGAAAUUACAGGAGAUGUUUCAUCUGGUGAAGCAGAAAAAUUUCCCUGCAGCUUUCAGAUGUUACUGGAAUAAUCAAAAAUUUGAUUCUCUUUCAAAUGAUUACUUGUAUUACAAGAUGCUUAUCCAUGGGCACAGUGAUUCUGCUUUUGGACAUUUGCAGCAAGAGAUGAGUAAAUUUGCGAAAUCAUCCUUGUAUUACAAGAUGCUUAUCCAUGGACGUUUAAAUUUUCACCCCUCUUUAAAAAUAUAAUGCCUUCAUUCAGACGUUAUGAUUUUUUUCUCUCGCUUUUGCCAUUGUUUAUUUCUCACCUACCUUCACCACUUAUGAUUAAAUCCGCAUACUAAAUCUUCUCUCCUUCCCUAGACAAUGACUUCAUGGCUACCAUGACCAUUUUCCUAUACUAUUAAUGGCUUAUUUAUUUCCCAUGUCUGAAUAAGUUACGCUUUAUAAUAUGAGAUAGAGUAUCUCAUUAGUAUAUGGAAAUAUCUCUUCUUUCUUCUUUUUUUUUUAGAUUUAUUAACUCUAAUGGAUCCCCCAUUUUCCUUUCUAGGAAAAAUCAAGAGUUAUGGCUACUAUACAGAGGUUUCUUCGUUGAAGUAAACAUGUUCAAGGGGAAUAAUAAGAUGCCUGCUGAACUUUCUGAAGAUGUCCACACUUACACUGAAAAAUAUCGGUGGUGCUUUGGAUUCAAUUAGUCCGCUAAGGACGGUCUGGCUGAUGAGGAUUCAAAUCUGAUGGUUAAACUAAAAUUCCUGACCUAUAAGGUAUUUUGCUAUAGUUCUCUUCUUCAUUUUGGACUUUGCUCGUUGGUACAUUUUGAGAUAUGAAUACUAUGCUGGUUACCUUAGAUUGGUUACUUUCAUGUUGAAUUUGGUGCACUUCUAAAAUUAAGUUUUCAAUGACACUAAUAUUCUUAUGGUUGUGCAUUCCAGUUAUGUCCAUCUGAUCUCCCUCUGAUGUUUCUCUGUGGACUUCCUUUCCUUAAGUACAUAUUUUAUUCUUGCGCUUGGGAGAGGCCUACAACUGUAUACGUUUAACUUUGCUGAAUAUGUAUAUUCUAAAAAAUUUCAUACGCUUGUCUCGGUAACUAAGAAUUCAGCUCAUCGGCGUUGUAGCGUGGAGUGGUUUCAUACGCUUUUCAGGGCUGCACUUUUUCCAUGGUGGAGCAAGCACGCAUGUUGGAAGAUGAGGAAUACGAGUUUUUGCACGUGACAUAUUCGAUGAAAUGCAGUGCAGGUACUAUGUUCUCGUGCGUUUGGUUCUCCAUACUGUAGUCUGUUUGUACGAGCGCAUUUGUAAUGCUGCUCACUAACCUAUAUUGGAGUCAUAUUUAUUUUAUUUGUAUGCUACCGGCGGUGAAGUAAGGUCCCGCUACAUCAUCGAACUGUUGCAGUGCUGGGGUGUGAAAUUGGACCCAAUAGUGACUACAAUGAUUUCUUCUCCAAAAUAAUUAUCUAGAUCACACUUCAGCCGCUCCAAUCAACACCACCACAUUCUACAUAUUCAUUCCAGUUAGAGCCCUCAUUGAAAGUCUAAAAGGUACUCUCUUGUAUUUAGUUGGGCUUCACUUUCAUGUACCUUAUAAGGUAGGUUUUUGUGUCAUGGGAGCGUAUUAUAUAGGAUGAGAAAAUCUAGACCGUGGUUCUCAUAGGGAGCCAGUACUCUAGCUAAUUGUUAAGGUAAAUUGAUCGCUUAUUCUGCCUUGCAAAACUGACCAUAUCUUCUUGUUGUAAUCUGUCGAUUGUACCAUUAUAGCUUCAGUAGUUGCCAUCCAAAAUAAAAAACAUGAUCAGUGUACACACGUCAUUAGCUUUCUAUUAUAGCAAAAUUUUGAAUUGUGCCAUUUAUUUUUAGAUGUCAUAGUUUUCAGAGAGUCAUUGCCCUGCUUCAGAGCUGGUAUUUCAAGCAACCGAAAUAUGGAUUUUUGGUGAGCUGCACAUGCUCUUGUUGAGUUGGUUCUUUGGCAGGUAUGUCGCUUUUUAUGGUUUUUUGUCAGAUUUUGUUGUGAUCGUCAUUUAGAGGUGUAGGGUUCAUAUCGGCAGCUAGCAAAGCAACUGAUUUGUUAUUUUCUUGUCAUUUGUGGGGUGACUCUUAUGACUCCAUAAAAAGGGUAAUCGUACAUAGGUGUCUUUAGUCUGUAUGUUCCAUGUAUGCAACUGAUGGUCUGCAUCUCCUAUUGCCACGGGAAAAAUAAAUAAAAGGGUGGCUCCAUUGUUGCUUUUGGUGUAAGUUAUCCUCUGCAUUUGAAAGUGCCUUCAAGACGGUGUUGGCUGCUAGGAAGGGCCUAUAUAUGGAGAGUGUUUAUCCAAGAUAAGAGGGCAUGAUUUUGGUGAGGCUUAACUCGGCUCAAAAUACAUUUCUGGUUUGGUCUAGCGUCUAAGGAGAAUUUGCAUGUGCACAUUUUGGUGAUUCAUUUUCCUUAAUUGUUCUCCUUUGCUUAUAGUCCAGAUAACUUCAUGUUACGAUAGGGGCAACAGCAUUGAAGGACUUUGUGUUUUUCACUAUCUCCCUUUUACCAGCAAGACUUUGAUGAAUUGACACAGCUGUCUGAUAUUUUGGGAUCGCUACUACAGGAGGAAACAUUAGCCAGAAGGACCGAUUGUUGUUCUCACAGCGGCGGGCCGUUAUUCUUCAGCAUCAUAUUACAAGUUCAUGUUUGAAGGUUUAGCUACCUCGCCCCUUUUCAAUGGAAUUUGUUUUAGUAGAGGGUUAUGGUUUAAGCGAAUUGAGAUUGCUUUUAUUUGUCUGAGGGACUUUCCAAACGUGUAUAUGGAUUAUGAGCAUGAAAAUGUAGAAUCAAAUAUUUUUAAUGUCAAUAGUGAAAUUAUUUUGGAGUUGGAAA